UACGAAGGGGGCUAGCGUUGUUCGGAAUCACUGGGCGUAAAGCGCACGUAGGCGGAUUUUUAAGUCAGGGGUGAAAUCCCGAGGCUCAACCUCGGAACUGCCUUUGAUACUGGGAAUCUUGAGUGUGGUAGAGGUUGGUGGAACAGCAAGUGUAGAGGUGAAAUUCGUAGAUAUUUGCUAGAACACCAGUGGCGAAGGCGGCCAACUGGACCAUAACUGACGCUGAGGUGCGAAAGCGUGGGGAGCAAACAGG
rnacentral:rRNA from 1 species